rnacentral:lncRNA from 1 species
UGGGGAUGUGCUAUGGUGUCGUUGCUUGUACUUUACUUUGAUGAGGAUAAGUUGUCAUCCUAAUUAAGGUUUUGUAUCUACAUCCAUAUUUGUAUUAAAUCGCGUACUGUUGGGGUUCACAAGUUGCUUCGGCUAUCAAAUAUUGUUGUUGUUGGGGUUCACAAGUUGUUUUUUUUUUUGGAAUUACCAUGAUCAGGAUGUUCAGUAUUUAC